ACUCAAAGGAAUUGACGGGGGCCCGCACAAGCAGUGGAGUAUGUGGAUUAAUUCGACGCAACGCGAAGAACCUUACCAAGGUUUGACAUCCCAGGAAUCCGAUGGAAACAUUGGAGUGCCUUUCGGGGAACCUGGAGACAGGUGGUGCAUGGUUGUCGUCAGCUCGUGUCGUGAGAUGUUGGGUUAAGUCCCGCAACGAGCGCAACCCUUACGGUUAGUUGCUACGCAAGAGCACUCUAGCCGGACUGCCGUUGACAAAACGGAGGAAGGUGGGGACGACGUCAAAUCAUCAUGCCCCUUAUAUCUUGGGCUUCACACGUACUACAAUGGCGGUUUACAACGUGCUGCGAGUGAGCGAUCACAAGCGAAUCACUUAAAAGCCGCCUCAGUUCGGAUUGCAGGCUGAAACCCGCCUGCAUGAAGUCGGAAUUGCUAGUAAUCGCGGAUCAGCAUGCCGCGGUGAAUACGUUCCCGGGCCUUGCACACACCGCCCGU
rnacentral:rRNA from 1 species